rnacentral:pre_miRNA from 1 species
AAACCGCCCUCUAAGUUUUGCAACUGUAGCAGUUUUGCCUCCUAAGGCCAAUUUUUGGUAAAAAAAAUAAAAUAACACGUGGCACCUCACUUAGGGUGCCACGUCAGCAUAGACCGAGUUAAAAUUGGCCUUGGGGGCCAAAACUGCCACAGAUGCAAAACUUAGGGGGUGGUUU